rnacentral:rRNA from 1 species
GCUGAAAGCCUGGUGCUUGCACCGGGUGGAUGAGUGGCGAACGGGUGAGUAACACGUGAGUAACCUGCCCCUGACUUCGGGAUAAGCCCGGGAAACUGGGUCUAAUACCGGAUACGACUGCCGGACGCAUGUCUGGUGGUGGAAAGUUUUUUCGGUUGGGGAUGGGCUCGCGGCCUAUCAGUUUGUUGGUGAGGUAAUGGCUCACCAAGACGACGACGGGUAGCCGGCCUGAGAGGGCGACCGGCCACACUGGGACUGAGACACGGCCCAGACUCCUACGGGAGGCAGCAGUGGGGAAUAUUGCACAAUGGGGGAAACCCUGAUGCAGCGACGCAGCGUGCGGGAUGACGGCCUUCGGGUUGUAAACCGCUUUCAGCAGGGAAGAAGCGCAAGUGACGGUACCUGCAGAAGAAGUACCGGCUAACUACGUGCCAGCAGCCGCGGUAAUACGUAGGGUACGAGCGUUGUCCGGAAUUAUUGGGCGUAAAGAGCUCGUAGGUGGUUGGUCACGUCUGCUGUGGAAACGCAACGCUUAACGUUGCGCGUGCAGUGGGUACGGGCUGACUAGAGUGCAGUAGGGGAGUCUGGAAUUCCUGGUGUAGCGGUGAAAUGCGCAGAUAUCAGGAGGAACACCGGUGGCGAAGGCGGGACUCUGGGCUGUAACUGACACUGAGGAGCGAAAGCAUGGGGAGCGAACAGGAUUAGAUACCCUGGUAGUCCAUGCCGUAAACGUUGGGCACUAGGUGUGGGGGGCAUUCCACGUUCUCCGCGCCGUAGCUAACGCAUUAAGUGCCCCGCCUGGGGAGUACGGUCGCAAGGCUAAAACUCAAAGGAAUUGACGGGGGCCCGCACAAGCGGCGGAGCAUGCGGAUUAAUUCGAUGCAACGCGAAGAACCUUACCAAGGCUUGACAUACACCGGACCGUCCUGGAAACAGGUCCUCUUCUUUGAAGCU